GACGAACGCUGGCGGCGUGCUUAACACAUGCAAGUCGAACGGAAAGGCCCUGCUUUUGUGGGGUGCUCGAGUGGCGAACGGGUGAGUAACACGUGAGUAACCUGCCCUUGACUUUGGGAUAACUUCAGGAAACUGGGGCUAAUACCGGAUAGGAGCUCCUGCUGCAUGGUGGGGGUUGGAAAGUUUCGGCGGUUGGGGAUGGACUCGCGGCUUAUCAGCUUGUUGGUGGGGUAGUGGCGUACCAAGGCUUUGACGGGUAGCCGGCCUGAGAGGGUGACCGGCCACAAUGGGACGGAGAAACGGCCAAGACUCCUACGUGAAGGAGCAGUGGAGAGUAUUGAGCAGUGGGGAGAAGCCUGAUGCGUCAACGCCGCGUGCGGAAUAACGGCCUUCGAGUUGUAAACCACUUUCGCCGGAGACAGAGCGUGAGUGACGGUAAUGUGUAAAGAAGCAACGGCUAACUACGUG
rnacentral:rRNA from 1 species